rnacentral:RNase_P_RNA from 1 species
GAACGCGCGAGUCAAGGUCGCCGGCGGUCCGGCCUAGCCGUGAUCCGUCGGAGGAAAGUCCGAGCUCCAUAGGGCAGGGUGCCGGGUAACGCCCGGGCGGCGAAAGCCGAUGGAAAGUGCCACAGAAAGCAAACCGCCGAUGGCCCCCUCGGGGGAUCAGGCAAGGGUGAAAGGGUGCGGUAAGAGCGCACCGGGCUCCCGGCAACGGGGGUCGCAUGGCAAACCCCACCCGGAGCAAGGCCAAACAGGGACGAGGAGCGGCCCGCUCCGUCUGAGUCCCGGGUAGGCCGCACGAGGUCGGCAGCGAUGUCGGCCCCAGAGAAAUGACCUUGCCCGGCUCUGCCGGGACAGAACUCGGCUUAUUCCGCGCGUCUUCCC